rnacentral:lncRNA from 1 species
UCCGCCCCGCCGCUCGAAGAUUGUCUCCGCCUCCUGCGUGGCGAGCGCGACGAGCAGAAGCUGGCGGGCCUCUUCAGAGUCAACCUCUUCACCUCACCCAGAGUGGAUCUUUCUUCACUUUAUAUCAGCCAAGUCCAUUUGUCCAUGCUUCUAUCCUAUCAUCUAUGUUCAUUUUAUUUCUGUUGAUUUAUCACAUGCGUGUGUAAAUUCUUGUUUUGGGUGAUGCGUUGUUCAGGCUUUACUUCUCAAUUAAUACCUGACGGUCAUCUGCUCUUUAUUUCCUCUACUCUGCCAAUUGAGGAC